CACCGACACCCUCCGUCCGAAAAUACUUGUCAUUGAAAUGGAUGUAUCUAGAUGUAUUUUAGUUCUAGACACAUCCAUUUUGAUGACAAGUAAUUCCGGACAGAGGGAGUACUUG
rnacentral:pre_miRNA from 1 species